CCUACGGGAGGCAGCAGUGAGGAAUAUUGGUCAAUGGGCGGGAGCCUGAACCAGCCAAGUCGCGUGAGGGAAGACGGUCCUACGGAUUGUAAACCUCUUUUGCCGGGGAGCAACGGGGUCCGGGCGAGGGCCCGAUGAGAGGACCCGGAGAAAAAGCAGCGGCUAACUCCGUGCCAGCAGCCGCGGUAAUACGGGGGAUGCGAGCGUUCUCCGGAUUGAUUGGGGUUAAAGGGUGCGUAGGCGGGCUGGUAAGUCAGCGGUCAAAUGUCGGGGCUCCACCCCGGCCUGCCGUUGAAACGGGCGGCCUCGAGUGGGCGAGCAGUAUGCGGGAUGCGUGGUGUCGCGGUGACAUGCCU
rnacentral:rRNA from 1 species